rnacentral:tRNA from 1 species
GGUUGCCUGGGCGGCCGCCGCUGGUGCUGCUGGUGCCGGCGCUGGCGGGGCUCGGGUUCCUGGUGCUGCCGC